AUAAUGAUACUUCUGUAAUUCGCAGCCGGGCCAUAAUGAAGGCGCGGGGGUGAGACUCCCAUGA
ncrna:unclassified sequences pemK RNA